rnacentral:misc_RNA from 2 species
AACGCACAUUGCGCCCCCCGGUAUUCCGGGGGGCAUGCCUGUUCGAGCGUCAUUACAACCCUCAAGCUCUGCUUGGUGUUGAGCCCGCCCCGCUUACCCGGGGCUCGCUUCAAAAUCAGUGGCGGCCGCCGUCCGACCUUCAGCGCAGUAAUGCUCGUCGCUGUUAGGGAAGGGUGGCAAGCGCCGUCAUACAACCCCCACACAAGGUUGACCUCGGAUCAGGUAGGGAUACCCGCUGAACUUAA